AUGAACGCUGGCGGCGUGCCUAAUACAUGCAAGUCGAGCGAACAGAUAAGGAGCUUGCUCCUUUGACGUUAGCGGCGGACGGGUGAAUAACACGUGGGUAACCUACCUAUAAGACUGGAAUAACUCCGGGAAACCGGGGCUAAUGCCGGAUAACAUUUAGAACCGCAUGGUUCUAAAGUGAAAGAUGGUUUUGCUAUCACUUAUAGAUGGACCCGCGCCGUAUUAGCUAGUUGGUAAGGUAACGGCUUACCAAGGCAACGAUACGUAGCCGACCUGAGAGGGUGAUCGGCCACACUGGAACUGAGACACGGUCCAGACUCCUACGGGAGGCAGCAGUAGGGAAUCUUCCGCAAAGGGCGAAAGCCUGACGGAGCAACGCCGCGUGAGUGAUGAAGGUCUUCGGAUCGUAAAACUCUGUUAUUAGGGAAGAACAAAUGUGUAAGUAACUGUGCACGUCUUGACGGUACCUAAUCAGAAAGCCACGGCUAACUACGUG
rnacentral:rRNA from 1 species